UAGUGCAUACCGGGUGUGUUUAUUUUUGGUGCUUGAUCUUCCAUAUACAGCCCAAAUAUGAAAUUUGGUAUAGUAUGUCCGGUUUUACUCAAUCCAUUCGCAGCCCUGUGACAAUAUCCUAUGACAAACAUUUCUCGAGAUGCUACUAUGCUGGAGGGAGAUUUAUCUUACAAGAAAACGAUUGAUCCAAGAGGAUCACCGUACUCAAUUUGGACCACGGUGAAGACAAAACAAAUUUCAGAAGCAAGAUUCAUCACUUUGAAAAGUUGAAUUGCAAGCCAAUUAAACUUCUUAAGGCUAUCACUUGAUUGUAAGAUGCCCGAUUAAGAUGGACUAUUUUUUGAAGUAGGAUAACUUUCUGAGCUCUAUGGCAUGACCCCCAGCUCUCUCGAAGGAUAUAGCGCACGGAAAAAUCAAGGCCAAAAUCCAUCCAAUGGGUUUGAAAUAGAUAGGCAAAAGUAGAAAUUUUCUUGUCAGGAAAGAUUUUGAUCGAACAUAUCUCCAAAUCCAUGAAGAAUUAUGUAGACCGUCUGUUUGCAAAGUCGAUACAGAAGUCAAUAUCUACCCCUUGAUGGAUUUUAGCCUUCUCAUGAUUACUUUCACUAAUCAUGACUGCUUCAAGUAAGCUAUGUAUUCUUUUAACUUCAGGAGG
rnacentral:lncRNA from 1 species